UACGUAGGGGGCAAGCGUUGUCCGGAAUCAUUGGGCGUAAAGAGCGUGUAGGCGGCCCGAUAAGUCCGCUGUGAAAGUCCAGGGCUCAACCCUGGAAUGCCGGUGGAUACUGUCGGGCUCGAAUCCGGAAGAGGUGAGUGGAAUUCCUGGUGUAGCGGUGAAAUGCGCAGAUAUCAGGAGGAACACCAAUGGCGAAGGCAGCUCACUGGGACGGUAUUGACGCUGGGACGCGAAAGCGUGGGGAGCAAACAGG
rnacentral:rRNA from 1 species